rnacentral:rRNA from 1 species
UACAGAGGGUGCAAGCGUUAAUCGGAAUUACUGGGCGUAAAGCGUGCGUAGUCGGUUAUUUAAGUCGGAUGUGAAAUCCCCGGGCUCAACCUGGGAAUUGCAUUCGAUACUGGAUAGCUAGAGUUCGGCAGAGGGAAGCGGAAUUUCGGGUGUAGCGGUGAAAUGCGUAGAUAUCAGGAGGAACACCGGCGGUGUAGACGGCUUUCUGGACCGUAGCUGACGCUGAGACACGAAAGCGUGGGUAGCAAACAGG